rnacentral:lncRNA from 10 species
AAGUUUAAAUGACUGACGUCGUAAAGUUACAUACACAGUGCACAGGCAAGAUAGCAGAAAAGAUGUCUUAGUUGAGGUUCUACUGAAGCAGACCCUGAGAUUCAAAUGCAAGUAGUGCUUUUGAAUUCUACUACUAAGACCCACAGAAUGAGAUUCAUUUUCUCUGAGAACUGGACAUUUGUCUAAUCAGGAGCCUUAGAAGUCUUACACUGCCAUGUGGAUUUAAGGAUAAAGGAGACCAAUUCAAACACAGAAGAGACCGUAUACCAAUGGAGAA